AAGACCCAGACAACUAGGUAAGGAACCAGGGAAGUUCCUUACUAAGACCUAGACAACCAGGUGAGGGGAGUUCCUUACUAAGACCUAGACAACCAGGUGAGGGGAGUUCCUUACUAAGACCUAGACAACCAGGUGAGGGGAGUUCCUUACUAAGACCUAGACAACCAGGUGAGGGGAGUUCCUUACUAAGACCUAGACAACCAGGUGAGGGGAGUUCCUUACUAAGACCCAGACAACCAGGUGAGGGGAAUUCUUUACUAAGACCUACCAGGUGAGGGGUGUUCCUUACUAAGACCUAGACAACAAGGUGAGGGGAGAUCUUUACUAAGACCCAGACAACCAGGUGAGGGGAGUUAUUUACUAAGACCCAGACAACCAGGUGAGGGGAGUUAUUUACUAAGACCCAGACAACCAGGUGAGGGGAGUUCCUUACUAAGACCUAGACAACCAGGUGAGGGGAGUUCCUUACCUAGACCUACCAGGUGAGGGGAGUUCUUUACUAAUUAGAGACCUUAAUUCAUCGAGUACAAGCCCCCCAGGAUCGACUUUGUGAAACCCUGCGCUAGAGUCCAAUGUCACCUCUAUUAGCAAUGACUAACCAACCAGCUGACGCUUUGUCCUACUUCUGAGUGAGAAUGAGUCACCUGUGCUCCCAAAACAGACCACUAGAUGGCAGUAAAUGUCCCUAUAUUCAUACCUUGCUUUAUUGUUUGCACUGUAGGGUACUAAGGGGUAACUGCCCCCCCCCACCCCCCUGUAAUUCCACAAGAUGUCACCAAAUUAUUUCCCCACCACUUCCCUUGCUGCCACUGCUCUUGCUCAACAAAAAUGUCCUCAAUGACAUCACAACCUUUGGAGAUAUUUCAACAAAACUAUUUUGUGGUAAAUUGAUCAAGUUGUAGAUAUAUUCCAAUGAAGUGAGAUCUAUACUUGUUUUUUAAAAUAUACAAGUAGGAAAGCCUUAAGCUAAAUAAUACUCUUGUUUAGAGAGAACAAUGUCUAUAAUUUUUUUGUAAACUAGUAAUAUGUUGGGUGAGUGUGUUGGGCACCCCCCCCCAACACACACACUUGGUUUAUUUUUAGGUUUAUGUUUAUGAAUGUGUUUUUACCUGUCAUUUAGACAAUGACUACCCUAGUUAGCACUAGUUUAUGCUAACUUGCUAGCUAGCAACUUCACUAGCAGUAAAUGCUAGCCAGCGAUCUAGUUAGCAUAAGCUGCUAUGGGUACUAGGUAGCAACCUUAC
ensembl:lncRNA